UGAAACUUAAAGGAAUUGACGGAGGGGCACCACAAGGAGUGGAGCUUGCGGCUUAAUUUGACUCAACACGGGAAAACUUACCAGGAUAAUACACUAUGACGAUUGUCAGGCUAGAGACCUUUCUUGAUUUAGUGAAUAGUGGUGCAUGGCCGUUAUUAGUUCGUGGGGUGAUUUGUCAGGUUGAUUCCGACAAACGAACAAGACUCUAGCCUGCUAAUUAAAGAUGGUUACUUAUUUGAUUUCGGUCGAAUGGAGUUUCCAUAACCUCCUUAGAGGGAUUAAUGACGUUUUUUUAUUUACAUGUAGUCAUAGAGAGAUGGAGAACAAUAACAGGUCUGUAUGCCCUUUGAUAUCUUGGGCCGCACGCGAGCUACAUUGAAAGAGACAACGAGUAAUUAUUUAUAAGUCCUGCGCCGAAAGGUUGCGGGUAAUCUUUGAAUUUCUUUCACCUCUGGGAUUGAGCUUUGUAAUCUUAGUUCAUGAACGAGGAAUUCCUUGUAAAUGUGAGUCAUUAGCUUGCGUUGAAUGCGUCCCUGCCCCUUGUACACACCGCCCGUCGCUACUACCGAUGAAGUGCUUAGCAAGAACGAUGGACGACUAGUAGCAUGCCCGCAAGGGAAGCUGCUUGGUUGAAAGUCGUUCAAGCUUGUCACUUUAGAGGAAGUAAAAGUCGUAANNNNNNNNNNNNN
rfam:Neofusicoccum parvum TCRNP2 chromosome Tnknown NP2_03_scaffold_402, whole genome shotgun sequence.